GUAGGUUAUUCCAGUGUACAUAUACUAUAAUAGAAAUGAUGCAGAGAAAAUUAGUAUGGCCCCCGUGCAAGCAUGACAGACAAAUUCAUGAAGCAUUCCAUAUUUUU